AUCAUCUUGUGUACAUCAAUGGCCGCCCCUUUGUUUUGCAUGAGGUGGAGAGACCGUUCUCUAACCUUGAAUAUACGGGAAUUAAUAGGGAACGGAUUGAACAAAUGGAAGCUUGUUUGAAACAGGACAUACUGUUAGAAGCUGCCAGAUAUGGAAAUAAAAUCCUUGUGACCGAUGAACUUCCAGAUGGUUAGAUGGUGGACCAAUGGGAACCGGUAUCAUGGAAAUAAAAUCCU